UACGUAGGGUGCAAGCGUUACUCGGAAUUACUGGGCGUAAAGCGUGCGCAGGCGGCUUUGCAAGCCAGAUGUGAAAUCCCCGGGCUUAACCUGGGAACUGCAUUUGUGACUGCAAGGCUAGAGUACGGUAGAGGGGGAUGGAAUUCCGCGUGUAGCAGUGAAAUGCGUAGAUAUGCGGAGGAACACCGAUGGCGAAGGCAAUCCCCUGGACCUGUACUGACGCUCAUGCACGAAAGCGUGGGGAGCAAACAGG
rnacentral:rRNA from 1 species